UACGUAGGGUGCAAGCGUUGUCCGGAAUUAUUGGGCGUAAAGAGCUCGUAGGCGGUUUGUCGCGUCUGCUGUGAAAACCCGAGGCUCAACCUCGGGCCUGCAGUGGGUACGGGCAGACUAGUGCGGUAGGGGAGAUUGGAAUUCCUGGUGUAGCGGUGGAAUGCGCAGAUAUCAGGAGGAACACCGAUGGCGAAGGCAGAUCUCUGGGCCGUAACUGACGCUGAGGAGCGAAAGCAUGGGGAGCGAACAGG
rnacentral:rRNA from 1 species